AGAGUUUAAUCCUGGCUCAGGAUGAACGCUAGCUACAGGCUUAACACAUGCAAGUCGAGGGGCAGCAUGUUGGUUGCUUGCAACCAAUGAUGGCGACCGGCGCACGGGUGAGUAACGCGUAUCCAACCUACCCUUGUCCAUCGGAUAACCCGUCGAAAGGCGGCCUAACACGAUAUGCGGUUCACAGCAGGCAUCUAAGGUGAACGAAAUGUGAAGGAGAAGGAUGGGGAUGCGUCUGAUUAGCUUGUUGGCGGGUAACGCCACAAGGCGACGAUCAGUAGGGGUUCUGAGAGGAAGGUCCCCCANAUUGGAACUGAGACACGGUCCAAACGUCCUACGGGAGCA
rnacentral:rRNA from 1 species